rnacentral:rRNA from 1 species
AAGGGUGGGGGUGUUCACCCAUUAAAGAGGAUCGCGAGCUGGGUUCAGAACGGCGCGAGCCAGUUUGGUUGCUAUCUGCUUGGAGUGUUAGUGUCUGAGAGGAAGGUUCCAAUAGUACGAAAGGAACAUGGAGCCGUGGCCUCUGGUUUAUCAGUUGUCCAACAGGGCAUGCUGAGUAGCUACGCCAUAGAAGAUAAAAGCUGAUAGCGUCUAAGCUUGAAGUUUCCCUCAAAAAGAGACACUGGACCCUUAUAGAAGAUGAGGUUGAUAGAACAGGGAUGUAAGUGCGGUAACGCAUUAAGUCCACUGUCACUAAUAGUCC